GGCUUUCGGCUUGCAUGCAUGAGUCAUCUAGUUUUCUUCUAAAUUCUCUAGCUCUCUGGACACUGUUGCCUGUAAGUAUGAGGCUGCGGAUUUCAGUAUAUGCUGCAACCACCGAAAUCCGACUUUUUCUGCCUCCUAAUGCAUCUGAGGUGCAUCAGAGAAAAGUCACACAAGAUCCACCAGGCCUCAGACCUCUGAUUCCACAGUCUCAUUUUACAGAUGAUAAUCUGAGGCCUGGAGAGGUUUAGGACUGGUGCCAACACUAAACAGCAAAUAAGUAUCAGAAUUGGGAUUCGAGCCAAAGCCUCUUGACCUUCCAGAAUUUCUGGACCUAGUUAAAAAAAAUAUGAUUUUUAUUAUUAUUUUUUAAACGGAGAGGUUAGGAAUUUAAAGGAAAGUACAGAUACUAUAUAAAAAAAGAUGCCCAUGAAAAUGUUAAGUUAUAAUAAUAGUGGAGCAUUGGGCACAACUGAAAUGGCCAAUCUUGUGAGAAUGGUAAAAUAAACUUAGGUCCGUGAGUAAGUGGAGUAUUACAUAGCCAUAAAAGUAUGCCCUUAAAGAAUAUUUGAAGAUGGUGAAUGUGAAGAAUCUUGUAUAAACUGCAUGGAAGACAGAAGGAAAUAUACCACAGUGCUAACCUUUGCCUCUGGGUGAUAUGAAUUACCGAGGCGUGCAAAGACUCCAGAAUUGGAGGCAUGAUGAAGACUCUGCUGCUGUUUGUGGGGCUGCUGCUGACCUGGGAGAGUGGGCAGGUCCUGGGGGACCAGACGGUCUCAGACAAUGAGCUCCAG
rnacentral:lncRNA from 10 species